rnacentral:rRNA from 1 species
UACGGAGGGUGCAAGCGUUGUUCGGAUUCAUUGGGCGUAAAGGGCGCGUAGGCGGCCAUUCAAGUGACGGGUGAAAGCCCUCGGCUUAACCGAGGAACUGCCUGUCAGACUGGAUGGCUCGAGACCGGGAGAGGUGAGUGGAAUUCCCAGUGUAGCGGUGAAAUGCGUAGAUAUUGGGAGGAACACCAGUGGCGAAGGCGGCUCACUGGACCGGAACUGACGCUGAGGCGCGAAAGCGUGGGGAGCGAACAGG